rnacentral:lncRNA from 1 species
AUGCACCUCCUGUUUCUCAGCGAGUCAUCCUUGAUAUGUUUACCCUAAUCGGUAACGGAUGCCUCUCUGUCAGAGAACAUUAUCUUCUUACCCAGUAACCGGUAAUAGAUAAUAUAUUUCCAGUACUCCUGUGUUGAAGAUCUUUUCUUCUUCCCCAAUUAGGUUUGAGUGUGUAUUUCCUCAAUGAAGUCGCCAAUCCCCUGUUUGGUUCGAGUAUUUCAG